AGUGAACGCUGGCGGUAUGCCUAACACAUGCAAGUCGAACGGCAGCACAGUAAGCGCUCGCUCUUACCGGUGGCGACUGGCGGAUGGGUGACGAAUACAUAGGCUUCCUAUUUUACUGGGGGGACUACGUAGGGCAACUUACGAUACUACCUCAUACGACGUACGGGAGAAAGCAAGAGUUCAUCACACCUUGCGUGACUGUAUGAGACGAUGUCGCAUUAGCUAGUUGGCGAGGUAAAGGCACACCAAGGCGACGAUGCGUAGCUGAUCUGAGAGGAUGAUCAGCCACACUGGAACUGAGACACGGUCCAGACUCCUACGGGAGGCAGCAGUAGGGAAUCUUCGGCAAAGGGCGCAAGCCUGACCCAGCAAUGCCGCGUGAGUGAAGAAGGCCUUCGGAUUGUAAAGCCCUGUUGUUAGGAAAGAAAAACAGUGGAAGAAUAUCUGCCUGUUCUGACGGUACCCAAUGAAUAAGCACCGGCUAACUUCGUG
rnacentral:rRNA from 1 species